UACAGCAACAAGAAAAGGAAGAGUCGCCAUUAACAGCGAAAUAGCUACUGCAAAAUGAUGAUAAAGCUGUGGUAGCCGUUCUGCAGUUACACUGAUUUAGUAAGCAAAUAAAAUCUUCCAAGAAAAGGUGACAUCGGUCGGCUGGCGGUAAUGUGGCGGAAAAACUUACUCGCCCGUGCCUUUGUGCCUCGAGAGGUUGAUGGCAAAUCAACUCAAUGGUCACUCGUCAAUGACGGUCCCCAUUCCUGCUCUCGAGACGAGGGUUCAUCAGACCUUGACGCGGACUAUUCAUAUAGCUCAAGGGACUGCUAAUGCUACUUUUACGGCUGUGAAGCGGACUGAAGUGACGUGUGUAGAUACCCGGAUAAAUGAAGUCCUGACAUUGCGAGAUUUACUUGAGGUUUGACGACUUCGUCAGAUCCUGUGGGGUUUGUUAACUGUCUGCCGGAGCAGUGAAACACCGGCCUCCCUAGCCCGGUGCUACAGAGCUAUAAUUCAUCGUUCCUGCUCGGAUUGCAGCAUGGGCCAGGGUUUAACCCGGCUAGGUCUGGUCCUUACCGUCUGCUACAGCCAUUUUCAACCUUUGCUAGCACAAACAGAAAGCGAGAACAUCUCGGAAGGCGCAAGCAGGUGCAACGUGCACAGCAUAGAACCAGUAGUUCUGCACCCUUAAA